rnacentral:lncRNA from 1 species
UGCAAGCCAAAGAAAAGGGGGGGAAAGAAUAGAAACAACCCUUGAGGGAGAAAAUUCAAGAGAAAUUCAUCGGUUACCAAAAAACGAAGCGAUCUGAGGUAAGAUUUUGCGAUUUUAGCUUAAGAUUCACCUCUCCCAUGCUUUCUUUUUCAUUUUCUAUGGUUGAAACCCAAACUUUCAUGAAGGAAGUCAUGUUGGCCGAAUCAAGGGGGGGGAGGUUUUGAUGAUGGUUUUUGUUAGAUUUCAUGCUAUCUAGGUGUUUUUAGUUGUUUUGUGAUAUUCGGUAUNNNNNNNNNNNNNNNNNNNNNNNNNNNNNNNNNNNNNNNNNNNNNNNNNNNNNNNNNNNNNNNNNNNNNNNNNNNNNNNNNNNNNNNNNNNNNNNNNNUGAAAUACCCCAUACUUUGAUAUGGUGAUAAAUAAAGUUGAUCGAAUGCAAAUUGAGGUCAAUUAAAAUGUUUAGAAGUGAUAAAAGACGAAAGGAGUAGUUUAGGAUAAAAUAUUUCGCAAGUGAGAAAAUAAUAAUAAAAUAAUAAUAAUUUUAUCGGAGGAGAAUUUGUGAGAUAAAAGGCGAUUUGGAAGUCAAGUGAGGCAUAAUAAGGUAUUUUGGGUACCAAGGAGACAAGAUAAAAUUUUUAGAAUAAAAUAAUAUUUAUUAAUAAAAUAAUAUUAAAAUAUUAAUAUUUAGCCGAAUGUCGAAGUCAAUCAAGAAGAAUAAUCAUAUGGUUGAUCCAAGUGGGGGAGAAGAUGACAAGCCUGACUCUAUAAAAAUAUUUAUCACGACAUACAUGUGAUGGAUAGUCUGUUUGCAUGCUAGGAGAGUCCCGAAAAAUUUAUAAAAGUCGGUAUUGCACCUAAAGGUACAAUAAAGUUGAUUUAAGCCUCGAACUAGAUCAAAUAGAGAAUUUCUGAUGAAAUUAAGAAUUUUAAAGUCCCAGAAUGGUUUAAUAAGGUGAUUCGGAGUUCGAUGAUCAAUUUGGAGUCAAACCGAAAUUUUUGCUAUCUAGGGGCAAAAUGGUCAUUUGCCACUUGGGGACAAAAUGGGAAUUUUAGAAAAGAAUUUUUUGGCCUCAUUUGACUUAUUGGAGUAUAAUUUGACUUAUUUGAGUUAGAUUUGAGGUUUAGAAGUGAAAAAGUUUAAUUUCAGUAUAAUUUGGAGUAAAAGGGUAAAAUGGUAAUUUUGCCACCCCAAGGGCACAAUUGUAAUUUUCCACCACCAGGACAUUUUUCCAGCACAUGGUCUUCCUUUAUCCUCAUUUUGACCAUUGACUAAUUGUGUGGUGGAGAUAAAAAGGAUUAAAAUUUUUAAAGUUUUAAAAACGGGCCAAUGACAUGAUGCCACAUGUCAUGCCUUUAUUAAUUUAUUAUUUUCCUUUUUAAAAGGCACAAAAAGAGAGAGAAAACAAAAACAAAACCCUAGAGAGAGAAAAUCAAAGAAAAAGUGUGAAUUUUCAAGGAAAUUAAGUGAAAAAGGUGAGAUUUUUCUAUUAAGCUUGAGUUUUCUUAGUCCCAAGCAUUUCUCUUUAUUUUCCAUGAUUAAAUUACAUGUUUUCAUGAUGCAUUCAAUUCUGAAAAAAUGGGUUAGGAGAGAGAAAGUUGUUAGAUUAAUUUGAUUUUAAGUUAUGUUAGUGUUUUAAGUUAGUUUAACAUAUUUAGAAACAAAACAACAAGAAAAGAAUUUAUUUUCUCCCACAAUCAUUAAUGGCCGAAUUUAUCAUGUGUUGAGUGAGGAUAAAUUUGAUUUUCAUUUUAGGAGAAUUGGUUAAGAAAUGAUGAAUUAUGAGCCUAGAAAAAUAAUGGAAAUUUUCAAAGCAAAAAUACGAUUUUUACCCACUAGGGGUAUUUUCGUAAUUUGCUACCGAGACUGAUAAAUUAAAUCUCAUUCACAGUCAUGGAGGUAAUUUAGUUAUAAUUGGAGUGUAAAAGGUGAGAAGAAUUGAUUUGGAGUUAAAUUGGAGAUAAUAGGCCGAAUUAGGUCAACACCGCAUUUAAGCGGUAGUCGGAUAAGUUGUAUAUCAUAUCAUGCAUAUAUAUGCAUAUAUACUGAGCCUGAAUUGAUUUUAUAAUGGUCAAGCAUUGAUGUGAUGAAUUAUGUAUUGUAGAUUGUGGAUAGGUGGUGAGCAAAGUACACUGGUAAAAGUAAAGAAAUUGUGCUUAGAGAUUGAGAUUAGGAGUACAUCAACUCCUAGAACUGUGAGUGAACUUAUUAUCGUCUUAAUUAUCUAGAGUAGUUUUAUACAACUGUGUGAUUUCAUGGAAAAUGGGUUUAAAUUGUAAAUUGCUAUGUUUU